rnacentral:rRNA from 1 species
AACGAACGCUGGCGGCAUGCCUUACACAUGCAAGUCGAACGGCAGCACGGGAGCAAUCCUGGUGGCGAGUGGCGAACGGGUGAGUAAUAUAUCGGAACGUGCCCAGUCGUGGGGAUAACGUAGCGAAAGCUACGCUAAUACCGCAUACGAUCUAUGGAUGAAAGCGGGGGAUCGCAAGACCUCGCGCGAUUGGAGCGGCCGAUAUCAGAUUAGGUAGUUGGUGAGGUAAAGGCUCACCAAGCCGACGAUCUGUAGCUGGUCUGAGAGGACGACCAGCCACACUGGGACUGAGACACGGCCCAGACUCCUACGGGAGGCAGCAGUGGGGAAUUUUGGGACAAUGGGCGCAAGCCUGAUCCAGCAAUGCCGCGUGCAGGAUGAAGGCC